rnacentral:rRNA from 1 species
AAGGCAAACCGCGAGGGAGAAGCAGAGGUAAUACGGGGGGUGGAAGCGUUAAUAGUAAGUACGGGGCGUAAAGCGUGCGCAGGCGGCUUAGUAAUGCAGAUGUGAAAUGCCUAGGCUCAACCUAGUAACGGCAGUUGAAACUAAUAAACUAGAGGAUCGUAGAGGGAGGUAGAAUUCCAGGUGUAGCGGUGAAAUGCGUAGAUAUCUGGAGGAAUACCAGUGGCGAAGGCGACCUCCUGGACGAAAACUGACGCUCAAGCACGAAAGCAUGGGGAGCAAACAGGAUUAGAACCCGGUAGUC